rnacentral:lncRNA from 14 species
UUUGGCUGAACCUUGGACCUGAUUUGUCACCUCAACCUCUCUGGGACUGCUGAUGGACCCAUCUUUUUCAUCAGCCUAGUCCCAUUCUGUUACCUUGGGAUGUGCCAGUCGCUGGAUGCUACUCUGCUGCUGCCUUCCCCCUUGCUCAGGAACAGCCUUAUUCUUGCUGCUUUUCACUCUGAGGACCACCUCCAGGGCAACCAGGGAAGCUCCUGCAAUACAUGGAGAGGUUCAGCAGAGCACUGUGGAGCCUGCAGGGUGACCUCAGACCAUGUAGAGCAGCAGAGACUCAGUUAAAGGACACUCUACCUUGGGCUAUGACAUACCAGCUAAAGACUGGGAUUCUUCUUGCCUGCAUGAUUAAAUGCUGACUCAAAGAAGGUGUUUAUUACGAUCCUGCCUGUCCUGGAGCACAGGUAAUAAAUUACAGAGCCUUUCCCUGACCAAAACCCAGCCUGGCUCCUCCUUGCUGCCUUCUCUCCUCAGCCCUUUGGGCUGCUGUCCUGGCACACAGCAGGGCUGGCACCAGGUCCUCUCUGCCAGGCGCCACAGAGAACUGCCUCGACGUGUUGGGGCACCGGUGAGAGAUAGAGAGGAGGAGCAGAACCAGCCAGAGGAUGGGCUUGGGGAGAAGAGAGAGCUCCUGUGAACCAAGAGCCAUGCCACGAGCCCUGGGAGCUGUGGUGCUGAGGUGGUUUCUUUUUGCUUCAUCACAAAGGCAGGAUUUGCAUGCUGUGUGGCUUGGGAAACCUGGCACCGCAGCCCAUUGACUGGUGUGAGCUCUUUGGUUUACCUAUAACAGCUACUGCUGUUGUGUUGAUGCUUCAGCACGCAAAACCCAUCCAUCCGCAUGUACAGCACGCAGCAUCGACAGGAGCAUCCCCAG